rnacentral:rRNA from 1 species
UACGAAGGUGGCAAGCGUUACUCGGAAUUACUAGGCGUAAAGGGCAGGUAGGUGGUUUGGUAAGUCUGUUGUGUAAGCUCCCGGCUUAACUGGGAGAGGUCAACAGAAACUACCAGGCUUGAGUAUAGGAGAGGGUACUGGAAUUCCCGGUGUAGCGGUGAAAUGCGCAGAUAUCAGGAGGAACACCGAUGGCGAAGGCAGGUCUCUGGGCAUUAACUGACGCUGAGGAGCGAAAGCAUGGGGAGCGAACAGG